UACGAAGGGGGCUAGCGUUGCUCGGAAUCACUGGGCGUAAAGCGCACGUAGGCGGCUUUCUAAGUCAGGGGUGAAAUCCUGGAGCUCAACUCCAGAACUGCCUUUGAUACUGGAGAGCUCGAGUCCGGAAGAGGUGAGUGGAACUCCGAGUGUAGAGGUGAAAUUCGUAGAUAUUCGGAAGAACACCAAGUGGCGAAGGGCGGCUCACUGGUCCGGUACUGACGCUGAUGUGCGAAAGCGUGGGAGCAACAGGG
rnacentral:rRNA from 1 species